UAGGGAAUCUUCCGCAAUGUGCGAAAGCUUGACGGAGCAACGCCGCGUGAGUGAUGAAGGUCUUCGGAUCGUAAAACUCUGUUUUUAGGGAAGAACAAAUGUGUAAGUAACUAUGCACGUCUUGACGGUACCUAAUCAGAAAGCCACGGCUAACUACGUGCCAGCAGCCGCGGUAAUACGUAGGUGGCAAGCGUUAUCCGGAAUUAUUGGGCGUAAAGCGCGCGUAGGCGGUUUUUUAAGUCUGAUGUGAAAGCCCACGGCUCAACCGUAGAGGGUCAUUGGAAACUGGAAAACUUGAGUGCAGAAGAGGAAAGUGGAAUUCCAUGUGUAGCGAUGAAAUGCGCAGAGAUAUGGAGGAACACCAGUGGCGAAGGCGACUUUCUGGUCUGUAACUGACGCUGAUGUGCGAAAGCGUGGGGAUCAAACAGG
rnacentral:rRNA from 1 species